rnacentral:rRNA from 1 species
ACGAGACUGUGAACGGCUCAUUAAAUCAGCAAUAAUUAAAUCGGUGGAUGUUGGAAGACGGAGACGGAUAACCGUGGUAAAUCUAUAGCUAAUACGUGGAAAGAGAGAUAUUGACUGUGAUGGAGGAGUGAAUAUGAAGGAUAUUAGGAGAGUAGACAGAAAAGGAAGGAGAGUGAUUGAUAGUAUGUGAGUGGAUCGUAGAGAAAGAGACGACGAGCCGAACAAAUUUCUGCCCUAUCAACUGUGGACGGUAGCAUAGAGGGCUACGGUGGUGAUGACGGGUAACGGAGAAUUAGGGUUCGAUUCCGGAGAGGGAGCAAGAGAAAUGGCUGCCAUGUCUAAGGAUAGCAGCAGGCGCGUAAAUUACCCAAUCCUGACACAGGGAGGUAGUGACAACAAAUAACACGGGUCGGUGGUUUGGUAAAACAAAGGCCGACUGGGGUGCAAUGAGAACAACGCAAAGUCCUUAUCGAGUAGCAAUUAGAGGGCAAGUUCUGGUGCCAGCAGCCGCGGUAACUCCAGCAUCUAAGAGUUUAUACGAAUGUUGUUGCAGUUAAAACGCUCGUAGUUGGAAGGAGAAGAAAAGAAGAGAAAGAAUAGGAAAGUAGGAUUUGUUUUUUUUUCUUUAAGGAAAGUAUAUAUUGGUGAAAAGAUAUAUAGAAAUUUACUUUGAAUAAAUUAGAAUGUUUCAAGUAGUUUUUAUAAGAAAGAUUAUAAAAGUGAUUGAAUAAGAAAGCAUGGGAUAAGAGAAGAAGAUUUGAAAGAACAAGAGUGUUUGGAUGUGGUUUUUUUGAAUAAUGAUAAAGAGGAACGGUUGGGGGUAUUUGUAUUGAAUAGUCAGAGGUGAAAUUCAAGGAUUUGUUCAAGACAAACAUCAGCGAAAGCAUUUACCAAAGGACGUGUCCAUUAAUCAAGAACGAAAGCUUGGGGAUCGAAGAUGAUCAGAUACCGUCGUAGUCCAAUGCCAUAAACGAUGCCGACCAAGGAUGAGAGGUAGAAAGAAAAGUAGAGGUCUAUUGAUUUUGCAGGGUGGUGCUCUGUUGAUUGAAAGAAGAAAGAAAGAAGAAGAAGAAGAAAAAGCAAAAAGAAUAGAUAAGAAAAAAAAAAAAGAUUCCUUUUGAAUUUUUGAGGGAAACCAUUGAGUGCUUGGGUUCUGGGGGGAGUAUGGUUGCAAGGCUGAAACUUGAAGGAAUUGACGGAAGGGCACCACCAGGUGUGGAAUCUGCGGCUUAAUUCGACUCAACACGGGGAAACUUACCAGGCCCGGACACAGUGAGGAUUGACAGAUUGAAGAUCUUUCUUGAUUUUGUGGUUGGUGGUGCAUGGCCGUUCUUAGUUCGUGGAACUGAUCUGUCUGCUUAAUUGCGAUAACGAACGAGACCUUUGUUUAUUAAUUAGUUGGAGGAUAAGAGAGCUAUUCGUCCAGAUAGGAGUGCGCCUGCGCAUGAAUAAGACUAAGUGAUUAGUCAACUUCUUAGAAAAGACAGUGUAUUCUUUUUUCGACAAAUACAAGGAAGUGGAAGGCAAUAACAGGUCUGUGAUGCCCUUUAGAUGUUCUGGGCUGCACGCGCGUUACACUGAAAGUUGCAAAGAGUGCGUUGUGCUUUUCUUUUCCUGCGAGCAAGAUUUGCUCGGGGGGGGGGGAGGCGCCUGCAGUGAAGACGAGCGGGCAAACUGUCGAUCAACGACUUUCGUGAUGGGGAUUGAUGAUUGUAAUUGUUCAUCAUGAACGAGGAAUACCUAGUAAGCGCAAUUCAUCAAAUUGCGUUGAUUACGUCCCUGCCUUUUGUACACCCCGCCCGUCGCUCCUACCGAUGAAUAGUCCGGUGAAAUACAGGAACCUGACGAGAGAAAGGAAACU